CGGCUAACUACGUGCCAGCAGCCGCGGUAAUACGUAGGCAGCGAGCGUUGUUCGGAAUUACUGGGCGUAAAGAGUGUGUAGGCGGUGCUCUAAGUCUGGUGUGAAAUCUCCCGGCUCAACUGGGAGGGUGCGCCGGAAACUGGAAUGCUAGAGUGUGGGAGGGGUAAGCGGAAUUCCUGGUGUAGCGGUGAAAUGCGUAGAUAUCAGGAGGAACACCUGUGGUGUAGACAGCUUACUGGACCACGACUGACGCUGAGACACGAAAGCGUGGGUAGCAAACAGGAUUAGAUACCCUGGUAGUCCACGCCCUAAACGAUGCAUACUUGGUGUGAGCCAUUCAUUUAGUUCGUGCCGGAGCUAACGCGUUAAGUAUGCCGCCUGGGGAGUACGGUCGCAAGGCUG
rnacentral:rRNA from 1 species